rnacentral:lncRNA from 1 species
AAUGGAGGAGCUGUGACUUAUUCAUCUUCUACCUCCAAUGACUGCCGUCAAGUAGGUAUCAAUUAACAGUAUUGCACUGAAUGUCUUUUCGUUUACGAUCUUCAUCUUUCAAUAUUUCCAGGCCAACCAGAAACACAUCAUAAGCAGCACAUGCCUCAAUUAAAUCAUUGGCAAGAUUAGAAAGACAGCCUAGAAGUAACUUUGGGCACACACAGAGUAUUUCACAAAUGUUAUUUGAAUUGAAAAAUGGAUCUUCAAACAAGACAGAAAAGAUCCAUCUAAACUUUUACUUCAUUGGAGGGUCCUUCCUGACCCAUGCAACUCAACAAAAAACUCUCACAGUUUUUAUAUGCUUUGUUGGGGAUUAACCCAUCUUGCAUUGCAUUGCUAGCUUAGUAUGUCUAGCAUGGGCAUGCCUGCUGAAGUUUGGAACUUCCCAUCAAGGAAACAGGAAAAUGCCAUUGGCAAUGAGCUGAAGACUGAUUUACUCUACCAGUUUGGAACAUCUGUUAUUGCUGCUACUACGGUUUCUAUCACUGUUUGAUGCUGGGACUCUUAAGCUCCAACCACGUUUUCACCGAGCUGAGUCGCCUUCUUAUCACCCCUUUCUGGAGCAGCAGGACAUCUGGGGAUGAGAAGAUGGAGAGAUCAUCCUUAUAUAAUGUUGCAGUCUGGAAGCAUCACUCUCAAAAAGCCAUUGUAGAGAAUCCAAGCCGAGUUUAAGAGUGCUGUGGAAAUACACUGCUGCUACUGCUGUUUCUAUUACUGUUUGAUGCUGGGACUCUUAUGCUCCAACCACGUUUUCACCCAGCUGAGUCGCCUUCGUAUCACGCCUUUCCAGUUCAACAAAGUGUGGACAGCUGUGCAGAAAUAUGAUUGGACAAAAAUGUUGUGAUCUAAAGCUAAUGGACUGAGUGUGGAAACCCAACAAGGCCUGUCUGUCUAGAUUCUUCUUGGCCUCUCUGAGCAGCGUUCCUUCCUUCUGGGUGUAAGGCAAGACCCUCUCUGGAGUGGGGGUGUUAUGACCUACAGUCAAACAAGGUAUGUCAGGGAAUUUCGUUAUGGCCAGUAUUUACACAGAAAGCUGGGAGGGAAAGUUAGAGUAAUGUUUUUAGGUUUUAUGGCUGGCUUUGGGGAACAAGGUUUCUGGUUUCUAGAACCUGCCUUGGGGAAGGAUUCUAGCUUCUGUUGCUCCUCUGGGGAGAAUGGGACUGAGACAGGAGGGCAGGGGAAGGUCAGAGAACAACAUUUGCUUCUAAACCUGCUUCUGGAGCUUUUUUUGGGGGGUAUUGUUAUCCGAGUCCCCACAAUAGCCUCCAGAAUAGCCUUCUUAAAACUGAAAUCUGUUCUUGCGCCA